GAUGAACGCUGGCGGCGUGCUUAACACAUGCAAGUCGAACGAAGCACUUAUCUUUGAUUCUUCGGAUGAAGAGGUUUGUGACUGAGUGGCGGACGGGUGAGUAACGCGUGGGUAACCUGCCUCAUACAGGGGGAUAACAGUUAGAAAUGACUGCUAAUACCGCAUAAGACCACGGAGCCGCAUGGCUCAGUGGGAAAAACUCCGGUGGUAUGAGAUGGACCCGCGUCUGAUUAGGUAGUUGGUGGGGUAACGGCCUACCAAGCCAACGAUCAGUAGCCGACCUGAGAGGGUGACCGGCCACAUUGGGACUGAGACACGGCCCAAACUCCUACGGGAGGCAGCAGUGGGGAAUAUUGCACAAUGGGGGAAACCCUGAUGCAGCGACGCCGCGUGAGCGAAGAAGUAUUUCGGUAUGUAAAGCUCUAUCAGCAGGGAAGAAAAUGACGGUACCUGACUAAGAAGCAC
rnacentral:rRNA from 1 species